rnacentral:rRNA from 1 species
UACGGGGGGGGCAAGCGUUGUUCGGAAUUACUGGGCGUAAAGGGCGCGUAGGCGGCUCGCUAAGUCGGAUGUGAAAACUCUGGGCUCAACCCAGAGCCUGCAUUCGAAACUGACGAGCUCGAGUUCUGGAGGGGAAAGCGGAAUUCCUGGUGUAGCGGUGAAAUGCGUAGAUAUCUGGAGGAACACCGGUGGCGAAGGCGGCAUCCUGGACCAACACUGACACUGAGGAGCGAAAGCCAGGGGAGCAAACGGG